ensembl:snRNA U6 U6 spliceosomal RNA
GUCCUUGCUUCCAAACACAUAAACUGAAGUUGGAACAAUACAGAGAAGAUUACCAUGGCACUGUAAAAGGAUGGCAUGCAAAUUCAUGGAGCAUUCCACAUUAAA